AGCCUGUGAUGAUAGAAAAAAUAUUUGUUUCUCUUGAUGGGUGACCCAUCUGAUGAUCAUCAACUACCAAGAUCUCUGAGGUU